UCUCAGCUGUGUACAAACUGAUAUGGUACUUAGCAGGAAAGUGACUGGAAAUUAAAAUAACUUCGUUCACCAGAGGUUAUCAGCUGGAUAUCUGUCAUCAUCAGUUUGUACAGAAAGAGUCAUCGGCGGCAAAAGGCUGUACUAGAGCAGAGCCCGGCUCUCGGCAGCCGGCAGGCACGAGCCCUCCCGACAGAAACCGAGCCCAAACCUGCUGAUGCGCGGUGCUGUCGUUCCUGGGAGCCUCUGGAGAAACGUAGCAGGAGCACUUGGAUGCAAGUGGAUGUGUUUCCUGUUCAAACAGAAGCAAAUCACUGAGGUGCCUGAACAGAAGAGAGAACCAAGGCUUUGCAUAUGUCACUUACUUGCUCACAGAGAAGCUCAUCAAAGCACAGAAAUGACCACGGCCAAAACAAAAAAUGAACCAUUUCACAAGUAAGAGGUCUGUCUGCUAGAGGCUGUCCCCAUGGAAGGCAUACACAGCCCCUGCCUUGCAGACAGGUGGCCAACAGACAACUGCACCCAUGAAAACCUGAACCCUGAUCUACUCUGCUGUAUACCUUCUCUUCUUCACUCACUCGAUGGCAUCUAUUCUGCUGGAGAGAGAAACAGAUGGAGAGCUGGCAGGUGUCAUACUCCCGUUAAAGACAAGAAAUACAGCUGAAAAGGUCUUUUAACUGUUACAACCUCCUGCCUGACCACUGCAGUUAACCAAAGCACUGAUAAUCUAAUCUUUCAGUACACACACUUGCCUCCUUCAAAAGAAACACAAUGACAAUAUUACUGGAACAUGGAAGACUUUAAUAAGAACACAUUAAAAUAAUCAACAUAUGGAAAAUAAAUAAUAAAAGCAUAUUAAGCAGCAGUCCAGGGAAAUGUUGUUGACACUGUUGUCAGAUAUUCUAAUAUAAAGGUGUUGGUAGUUCUCCCAACAAAAUAUAAAUGAAACAACAACUCCUUGAUUAACAGGAUCAAAAUAUGGUUCAAAAUGAAAAAAAAAAAAAUAAAAAAAAAAAGCUUGAAAGCUUAA